UGAGGAAUAUUGGGCAAUGCCCGCAAGGGUGACCCAGCAACGCCGCGUGGAGGAUGAAUGUCGUAAGAUUGUAAACUCCUGUUAGAGGGGAAGAAUAGUACCGGUUGGACCGGUAUAUGACUGUACCCUCAGAGAAAGCCCCGGCUAACUACGUGCCAGCAGCCGCGGUAAUACGUAGGGGGCAAGCGUUGUCCGGAUUUACUGGGUGUAAAGGGCGCGCAGGCGGGAUAAAAAGUCAGUGGUGAAAUCCUACAGCUUAACUGUAGAACUGCCUUUGAUACAUUUAUUCUUGAGUUCGGGAGAGAGAGACGGAAUUCCAGGUGUAGUGGUGAAAUACGUAGAUAUCUGGAAGAACACCAGUUGCGAAGGAGGUCUCUUGGUCCGACACUGACGCUGAGGCGCGAAAGCGUGGGGAGCAAACA
rnacentral:rRNA from 1 species